rnacentral:rRNA from 1 species
UACGGAGGAUCCAAGCGUUAUCCGGAUUUAUUGGGUUUAAAGGGUGCGUAGGCGGCCUGUUAAGUCAGGGGUGAAAGACGGUAGCUCAACUAUCGCAGUGCCCUUGAUACUGAUGGGCUUGAACUGACUAGAGGUAGGCGGAAUGUGACAAGUAGCGGUGAAAUGCAUAGAUAUGUCACAGAACACCGAUUGCGAAGGCAGCUUACUAUGGUCUUAUUGACGCUGAGGCACGAAAGCGUGGGGAUCAAACAGG